GCUUACGGCCAUACCAACCUGGCUAUGCCCGAUCUCGUCUGCUCUCGGAAGCUAAGCAGGUUUGGGCCUGGUUAGUACUUGGAUGGGAGACCGCCUGGGAAUACCAGGUGCUAUAAGCU
ensembl:rRNA 5S_rRNA 5S ribosomal RNA